rnacentral:rRNA from 1 species
AAUACGUUCCCGGACCUUGCACACACCGCCCGUCAAGCCAUGGAAGCUGGGUGUACCUAAAGUCGGUAACCGUGAGGAGCCGCCUAGGGUAAAACUAGUGACUGGGGCU